AUGUGUGCCAGGAACUGCUGAUGGAUCAGUGAGCCUGUGUUCACACCAGUGAGCUACUGUUGCUCGGAUACUAAUACUUUCUUUCCAAACAGCAUAAGAAGUAAUUGAGUCACAAGUACACUGAAGGAAGGGCUCCCUCGAGCUGCGGGGUGAAGAGAGAAAUCACCAGGACUCCAAAAAACCCUAGAAUUGACUAAUCAUUUCUCCUGCUACUUCCCCAACACAGACUAUGCACCCGACUGC
rnacentral:lncRNA from 1 species